UACGCUCUUAUCACGUCGAAACACCGGUUCUCUUAUGAUCACCGAAGUUAAGCAACGUCAAACCUGCUCAGUACUUAGAUGGGUGUCCGCUUGGAAAUAUCAGAUGCUAU